UGAGCGAUGAGGAGAGGACAUAAAGUCUUACGAUGCAUCAAGGGGAGGUUUAGGCUGGAUAUCAGGAGGAAUUUCUUCACGGAAAGGGUGAUUAGACAUUGGAAUGGGCUGCGCAGGAGGAUGCUGGAGUCGCCGUCCCUGUAGGUGUUUAAGAAAAGGCUAGGCGUGGCACUUCGUGCCGUGAUCUAGUUGACAAGGUGGUGUUGGGGCUCAGCGACCUCGGAGGUCUUUUCCGAUCUAAUUGAUCCUGUGCUUCCCAACUGCCCUCCACUACGAUAUUAAGCUUGAGCUGCACAGUGGAAGUGUUCUCUCGCGUGUGGUGCUCCCCGCCUUUUCCAUUAUCGCACAGAGAGGCUGUUCCGCCCCUCAGGAAAAACUGUGGGCCAGGGAAAGGUGCAGAGUGGCUGUCACAUAAUUGUGUAGCAGGGCAAGCUAAAGACACAGCCAGAGCACAGCACUCCUUCCCCUGCCUUUGAAGAAAAGGGGGCUUUGCUGCAAAACCUUAGCUUGGAGGUGAUGAAACUGAGAAGCCGUAGAGUGGGCAUGGGUGGUGAUGCUGUCAUGACUGACUGGAAAGACAAGGACUAUUUCGGUUGAAUCUCCCACCUUAGAAAGAUCUCCCCAGCAAACACAGCUAAUCCCGUGCUGCGCUCUAGGAAUUGUCACUUAUUGUGAAUUUAGAACCAGAAGUUCUUGGGUACUUAUUUCCAGAACUGAACUGCUGUAGCAGUCGGGUGCUAAUCUUAAGGCGGAGAUGAUGGCAUGCUAACAGGAGUGGCAUUUGCUGUACAAAUAUUAGAACUUAAAAUUUUGUUAGUUCGAGGAAGGAAGUGCUUUAGCACUUAAAGGUGGAAUGGUGCUGUAAUUACAGGAGUUACAUGUAUUGUAUAAGCAUUAGUCUAUCCACAAUCUAUCUGUAUCAUGUUUGUUCUCUGAUGGUUUAAACAGAAAGUAAAAAAGCUUUCCUUGUGGAUCAGUGUUUACCCCUGCUAUAUCAGAAAGAUAUCCUUCCAAAGAAACUAAGUUGUUGGUUUAAAAGCAUGUAUUGAUAUUCUGAUUAAAAGCUUAAAAUCUUUAUGCAAGGUAGAUGAUGUCUCUGAAAUCAAGAAAAAAUAGUUGGAAAUGCUCUCAGGCAAUUUGAAGGUCAGAUGGAAUGAAUACAAUGUAACUAAGAAAUUUUAAAAUUGCAGUUAUUUAUUUAGGCUUGACUAGAACAUUAUAUCAUGUGUUUUCCUGCAAGUAACUGUUCAACAGAUGGUCCUUGGCUGCAUUCUGACCAUGAAAAACAAUGACAGAGCCAGGGCUUGGAUUUUAAUUGGCAAAAUCUCCCACACAAUGCUCUCCCAAGUAUGGAAAGAGAACCAGCACAGUACUGUGGAAAGGAAGAAAAACAGUAUUAAUGAAGCAUUCUCUAUAAUCCACCUACAGUUGUCACUUACAAUAAAAUGAAUGAGAAAUUAGGGGAGAAACUCAUUUAAUAUUGAAAUUGUUCCUCUGGUACUCAGUGAUUGUAGGUAGCCCUGUGUGACUGCUGACAUUUUCAACAGCGCUAAUGAAUUUGAUUGGGAACUAGGCAUACACCUAGAAAGCUGAAUACUUUGCUGUGUGCUUCUCUGUGUGUUUAAUUACUAUAUAGUUUCUCCCUGUCUUUGGCAGAUAGAAGAAAGGACAUGUGUACUGUUUAUUUAAACAUCGGGAGUAAAAGUCAUAAACUCUAGAUAGAGGGAUCUCUAGAGAACUCAGAACUAAAGACUGUACAACUUUGAAAGUGUUUUCCCCUUUCUAUUCCUCUUAAAGCCUCUGUUCAACAUUUGAAGAAAAAUACUUUUUUUCCCCCUUUCUUUUUCCACAUCUUGGCAUGUGACAUUAUAUGUGCGGGAAAAAAUCUCCUGGCAAACCUGUAAAUAAGCUAAACCUGAUGGGAUCUCUGAAGUAGGGAUGAAACAGAAGAAGGUUAUCAGGCAGGAAGAUCAGAAGAUGCUUGGAGAAGAAAACUAGGAGAAGGAUCAGCAGUUACACCUCAUGACAGAUAAGCAAAAGAUGAAGAAAUUCUAUGCAACAAUUCUUAUCCUAAAGCCAAAGAAAGAUGACAUUUCUCAGUUAUGGUCAUAGUAGGAGAGACAAGCUGAGAAUGAAAAUGAAUGUGAACUAACAGUUUGUUUUCUUAGGGAUGAGAACAUACAGAGGACUUUCACUCUUGUCAACAAUCCCAGGAUAUAAUGUCCCUAGGGCUGUUUUUGCCAAGUCACAACUGUUGAAAAGGAAGUUCUUUCCAAGAGUAGAUGGUUUUCAAUUAAAUAAAUAUAUUGUACAUAAAGAUUUGCAAAGUAAUUUCUAAUGUCUCUGUACUAUGGAAUUGCUUUCUCACCAGUGACAAGUGUUCUACCACUUUGUUUGCUACUCACUACAUACAUCAUUUAUCUUAAUGAUCGUUUUUGUCAUUAGAAUUCAAACAAACUGUAUUUAACGAGGAAGGCCCUUUCUCAGAAUUAUU